rnacentral:rRNA from 1 species
GAAUGCUGACAUAAGUAACGAUAAAGCGGGUGAAAAGCCCGCUCGCCGGAAGACCAAGGGUUCCUGUCCAACGUUAAUCGGGGCAGGGUGAGUCGACCCCUAAGGCGAGGCCGAAAGGCGUAGUCGAUGGGAAACAGGUUAAUAUUCCUGUACUUGGUGUUACUGCGAAGGGGGGACGGAGAAGGCUAUGUUGGCCGGGCGACGGUUGUCCCGGUUUAAGCGUGUAGGCUGGUUUUCCAGGCAAAUCCGGAAAAUCAAGGCUGAGGCGUGAUGACGAGGCACUACGGUGCUGAAGCGACAAAUGCCCUGCUUCCAGGAAAAGCCUCUAAGCAUCAGGUAACAUCAAAUCGUACCCCAAACCGACACAGGUGGUCAGGUAGAGAAUACCAAGGCGCUUGAGAGAACUCGGGUGAAGGAACUAGGCAAAAUGGUGCCGUAACUUCGGGAGAAGGCACGCUGAUAUGUAGGUGAAGCGACUUGCUCGUGGAGCUGAAAUCAGUCGAAGAUACCAGCUGGCUGCAACUGUUUAUUAAAAACACAGCACUGUGCAAACACGAAAGUGGACGUAUACGGUGUGACGCCUGCCCGGUGCCGGAAGGUUAAUUGAUGGGGUUAGCGGUAACGCGAAGCUCUUGAUCGAAGCCCCGGUAAACGGCGGCCGUAACUAUAACGGUCCUAAGGUAGCGAAAUUCCUUGUCGGGUAAGUUCCGACCUGCACGAAUGGCGUAAUGAUGGCCAGGCUGUCUCCACCCGAGACUCAGUGAAAUUGAACUCGCUGUGAAGAUGCAGUGUACCCGCGGCAAGACGGAAAGACCCCGUGAACCUUUACUAUAGCUUGACACUGAACAUUGAGCCUUGAUGUGUAGGAUAGGUGGGAGGCUUUGAAGUGUGGACGCCAGUCUGCAUGGAGCCGACCUUGAAAUACCACCCUUUAAUGUUUGAUGUUCUAACGUGGGCCCCUUACCGGGGUUGCGGACAGUGUCUGGUGGGUAGUUUGACUGGGGCGGUCUCCUCCUAAAGAGUAACGGAGGAGCACGAAGGUUGGCUAAUCCUGGUCGGACAUCAGGAGGUUAGUGCAAUGGCAUAAGCCAGCUUGACUGCGAGCGUGACGGCGCGAGCAGGUGCGAAAGCAGGUCAUAGUGAUCCGGUGGUUCUGAAUGGAAGGGCCAUCGCUCAACGGAUAAAAGGUACUCCGGGGAUAACAGGCUGAUACCGCCCAAGAGUUCAUAUCGACGGCGGUGUUUGGCACCUCGAUGUCGGCUCAUCACAUCCUGGGGCUGAAGUAGGUCCCAAGGGUAUGGCUGUUCGCCAUUUAAAGUGGUACGCGAGCUGGGUUUAGAACGUCGUGAGACAGUUCGGUCCCUAUCUGCCGUGGGCGCUGGAGAACUGAGGGGGGCUGCUCCUAGUACGAGAGGACCGGAGUGGACGCAUCACUGGUGUUCGGGUUGUCAUGCCAAUGGCACUGCCCGGUAGCUAAAUGCGGAAGAGAUAAGUGCUGAAAGCAUCUAAGCACGAAACUUGCCCCG